rnacentral:rRNA from 1 species
UGUCUCAAAGAUUAAGCCAUGCAUGUCUAAGUAUAAGCAAUCUAUACCGUGAAACUGCGAAUGGCUCAUUAAAUCAGUUAUCGUUUAUUUGAUAGUACCUUACUACUUGGAUAACCGUGGUAAUUCUAGAGCUAAUACAUGCUAAAAACCUCGACUUCGGGAGGGGUGUAUUUAUUAGAUAAAAAACCAAUGCCCUCCGGGGCUCCUUGGUGAUUCAUAAUAACUUAACGAAUCGCAUGGCCUUGUGCCGGCGAUGGUUCAUUCAAAUUUCUGCCCUAUCAACUUUCGAUGGUAGGAUAGUGGCCUACCAUGGUUUCAACGGGUAACGGGGAAUUAGGUUAGUUUGGACACUGCUUUCUGGUUGAUUACUUUUUACUAAUUCGAUUUAUAGGGUUCUAUUCCGGAGAGGGAGCCUGAGAAACGGCUACCACAUCCAAGGAAGGCAGCAGGCGCGCAAAUUACCCAAUCCCGACUCGGGGAGGUAGUGACAAUAAAUACUGAUACAGGGCUCUUUUGGGUCUUGUAAUUGGAAUGAGUACAAUUUAAAUCCCUUAACGAGGAACAAUUGGAGGGCAAGUCUGGUNNNNNNNNNNNNNGUAAUUCCAGCUCCAAUAGCGUAUAUUAAAGUUGUUGCAGUUAAAAAGCUCGUAGUUGAACCUUGGGCCUGGCUGGCCGGUCCGCCUCACCGCGUGCACUGGUCCGGCCGGGCCUUUCCUUCUGGGGAGCCGCAUGCCCUUCACUGGGUGUGUCGGGGAACCAGGACUUUUACUUUGAAAAAAUUAGAGUGUUCAAAGCAGGCCUAUGCUCGGAUACAUUAGCAUGGAAUAAUAAAACAGGACGAGCAGUUCUAUUUUGUUGGUUUCUAGGACCGCCGUAAUGAUUAAUAGGGAUAGUCGGGGGCAUCAAUAUUCAAUUGUCAGAGGUGAAAUUCUUGGAUUUAUUGAAGAUUAACUACUGCGAAAGCAUUUGCCAAGGAUGUUUUCAUUAAUCAGUGAACGAAAGUUAGGGGAUCGAAGACGAUUAGGGCUAAUAUCUGGUCGUCAACAAUAAAAGAGCCUAAGAGCUUCCUUCUAUUACGCUACAAACACACGCCUUGAUCGGAAAAUUAGGGUGUAGCGAACACCAUCAAACUGCAGGGACCCCCUAAAGACGCCUACUACGACGCGCCAGCUUGAAAGAGUGGUGUGCCCAGAGCGGAUAACUCUGGGGCGUAAAAAUGUAGCGUAUGAUGUCCCUAGGACUGAAAUGGGCAACCCGCAGCCAAGCCCUACGGUGUCGUUGGACGCUAUGGGUGCAGUUCACAGACUAAACGUUGGUGGGAGGGUAACCUUCUAAGAUAUAGUCGAGGCCUGGGUUAGAGCCUGGGGAGUGCUGCAGAUACCGUCGUAGUCUUAACCAUAAACUAUGCCGACUAGGGAUCGGGCGAUGUUAUUUUUUUUGACUCGCUCGGCACCUUACGAGAAAUCAAAGUCUUUGGGUUCUGGGGGAG